UUUGCAUGAUGAUAACUUUAAACAUCAGUUCUGCUUCUGAACAUACAGGAAGAUACUCCAUAUACCAAAAGCUCAAAAAUCUGACAC
rnacentral:snoRNA from 1 species